GACAGAGGUGCCAAGCGUUAGGCGGAAUCACUGGGCUUAAAGCGUGUGUAGGCGGAUCGUUAAGUACCUUGUGAAAUCCCACGGCUCAACCGUGGAACUGCUGGGUAUACUGGCGAUCUUGAGCCACCUAGGGGCGAGCGGAACAAGCGGUGGAACGGUGAAAUGCGUAGAUAUCGCUUGGAACGCCAAUGGUGAAAACAGCUCGCUGGGGGUGUGCUGACGCUGAGACACGAAAGCCAGGGGAGCGAACGGG
rnacentral:rRNA from 1 species